GACUCGGUGGCGGAUGGUCUGCGCCCAUAGAACUUAUAAGUGCAAGGGUUUGAUUGCAUUUUAAGAUGUAGGAGGUUGCCUGUUCGAAUCAGGCCCGAGUCG